CCUACGGGAGGCAGCAGUGGGGAAUCUUGCGCAAUGGGUGAAAGCCUGACGCAGCCAUGCCGCGUGAAUGAUGAAGGUCUUAGGAUUGUAAAAUUCUUUCACCGGGGACGAUAAUGACGGUACCCGGAGAAGAGGCCCCGGCUAACUUCGUGCCAGCAGCCGCGGUA
rnacentral:rRNA from 1 species